AGCUCCAAUAGCGUAUAUUAAAGUUGUUGCAGUUAAAAAGCUCGUAGUUGGAUUUGUGGUGUGUCCAGUUGGCCUUUGCUCUUUGAGUGAUUGCGCUGUACUGGUCCGCCAUGUUUGGGUGGAAUCUGUGUGGCAUUAAGUUGUCGUGCAGGGGAUGCCCAUCGUUUACUGUGAAAAAAUUAGAGUGUUCAAAGCAGACUUACGUCUUGGAUAUACUAGCAUGGAAUAAUAAUAUAGGACCUUGGUACUAUUUUGUUGGUUUGCGCACUAAGGUAAUGAUUAAGAGGGACAGUUGGGGGUAUUUGUAUUCCAUUGUCAGAGGUGAAAUUCUUGGAUUUUUGGAAGACAAACUACUGCGAAAGCAUUUACCAAGGAUGUUUUCA
rnacentral:rRNA from 1 species